rnacentral:rRNA from 1 species
GAUGAACGCUGGCGGCGUGCCUAAUACAUGCAAGUCGAGCGAACAGACGAGGAGCUUGCUCCUCUGACGUUAGCGGCGGACGGGUGAGUAACACGUGGAUAACCUACCUAUAAGACUGGGAUAACUUCGGGAAACCGGAGCUAAUACCGGAUAAUAUAUUGAACCGCAUGGUUCAAUAGUGAAAGACGGUUUUGCUGUCACUUAUAGAUGGAUCCGCGCCGCAUUAGCUAGUUGGUAAGGUAACGGCUUACCAAGGCAACGAUGCGUAGCCGCCCUGAUAGGGUGGUCGGCCACACUGGAACUGAGACACGGUCCAGACUCCUACGGGAGGCAGCAGUAGGGAAUCUUCCGCAAUGGGCGAAAGCCUGACGGAGCAACGCCGCGUGAGUGAUGAAGGUCUUCGGAUCUUAAAACUCUGUUAUUAGGGAAGAACAAAUGUGUAAGUGACUAUGCACGUCUUGACGGUACCUAAUCAGAAAGCCACGGCUAACUACGUG